UGGGCAACCUGCCCCUCUCUCUGGGAUAACCCCCGGGGAAAACCCGGAGCUAAUACCGGAUACUCCGGCUGGAUCGCAUGGUCCGGCCGGGAAAGGUCCGCCGGAGAGGGAUGGGCCCGCGGCCUAUCAGCUUGUUGGUGGGGUCAUGGCUCACCAAGGCGACGACGGGUAGCUGGUCUGAGAGGACGACCAGCCACACUGGAACUGAGACACGGCCCAGACUCCUACGGGAGCA
rnacentral:rRNA from 1 species